rnacentral:lncRNA from 1 species
CUAAGUUUUUGUAUUUUUUGUAGAAACGGGGUUUUGCCAUGUUGCCCAAGCUGGUCUUGAACUCCUGGGCUGAAGCCAUCCUCCCAUCUCAGACUCCCAAAGUGCUGGGAUUACAGGCAUGAGCCACCGCGCCUGGCCUCACACUAGUGCCUUUGAAAGCAGCUGUCACAGUACACAUCACCAUGGAAAUAAUUUCCAGACAAUGGAAAAAAUUCUAUCAGUGGCAACAAGAAAAGCAUUGGCAGGUACAAUAGGCACUAUGCUUAACGGUUUAUCCCACUGCCUCAUUUAACCCCCAAGGAGGUGGGUCCUGUUAUUACCCUGACCUUACAGAGGAGGAGACUGAGGCACCAGAGCUCAAGUAGCCUACUGAGGUCACACAUGAGCCUACAUGAGCCAUGGAGUGGAGUGACCAACUGGAGGCACGACCAAAUCGGGCAACACACAGCCAGGAUCUUAAAGGGAAGAGAUGACCAGGAGGAGGGAAGACAGGAGGAUGGGAGAGGAGAUUGGUGCCUGAUUGUGUUUGGACACAGUAGGGUUCUUAUGAGCGGAGGAUGGGAGGGGGAAGGUUGAGCAUCCAUCUCUCCCAUCUCCUGUGGCCAGGUCUGUUACAGCAGCCAGCCCUGCACGCCUUCCCCAACAGCCUCGCUGGGGCAGUUCAUGGUUCAAAGCCUACAGCCCUCCAUCUGAGUUACUAGACUCAUAUAUAGGCUGUACCUUCUGCCCAUGGCUGUGGGGAACCAGGACUGCAGAGGAAGCAUGUGAGUGAAGCCACCGGAAGCAAGCAAAUGGAACAAAACCAGCACCACGACCACCACCACCACCACCACCACCAUCACCACCAUCACCACAAUACAAAUACUCUCUUUGAUUGGUCCUCUGGGUAGAUAAAAUGUUAUCAAAUCACCUCCAAGCUUUCUUUACUGAUUCUUCAUCUGCUCAAACUAUUUUUUAAGAUUUGAACAGAAUGACACCUAAUGAUCACUGUCUGAGGAGUUUAGGGUUUUUAUUUUCUUGCCUGUAACACUCAGUGGUGACCAGGACGAGGAGCAUGUAUGUGUUGAAGGGUGCGGGCUGCGUGAAGCCUCCCUUCUGCCCCAUCCGCAAUCCCUGACAUCUCACUACUCACAUUCUUAGAUCAGUCUCCGC